rnacentral:rRNA from 1 species
GACGAACGCGGGCGGCGUGCCUAAUACAUGCAAGUAGAACGCUGAAGCUUGGUGCUUGCACCGAGCGGAUGAGUUGCGAACGGGUGAGUAACGCGUAGGUAACCUGCCUGGUAGCGGGGGAUAACUAUUGGAAACGAUAGCUAAUACCGCAUAAGAGUAGAUGUUGCAUGACAUUUGCUUAAAAGGUGCAAUUGCAUCACUACCAGAUGGACCUGCGUUGUAUUAGCUAGUUGGUGGGGUAACGGCUCACCAAGGCGACGAUACAUAGCCGACCUGAGAGGGUGAUCGGCCACACUGGGACUGAGACACGGCCCAGACUCCUACGGGAGGCAGCAGUAGGGAAUCUUCGGCAAUGGACGGAAGUCUGACCGAGCAACGCCGCGUGAGUGAAGAAGGUUUUCGGAUCGUAAAGCUCUGUUGUAAGAGAAGAACGAGUGUGAGAGUGGAAAGUUCACACUGUGACGGUAUCUUACCAGAAAGGGACGGCUAACUACGUGCCAGCAGCCGCGGUAAUACGUAGGUCCCGAGCGUUGUCCGGAUUUAUUGGGCGUAAAGCGAGCGCAGGCGGUUAGAUAAGUCUGAAGUUAAAGGCUGUGGCUUAACCAUAGUACGCUUUGGAAACUGUUUAACUUGAGUGCAAGAGGGGAGAGUGGAAUUCCAUGUGUAGCGGUGAAAUGCGUAGAUAUAUGGAGGAACACCGGUGGCGAAAGCGGCUCUCUGGCUUGUAACUGACGCUGAGGCUCGAAAGCGUGGGGAGCAAACAGG